rnacentral:rRNA from 1 species
GAUGAACGCUGGCGGCGUGCCUAAUACAUGCAAGUCGAGCGAACAGAUGAGAAGCUUGCUUCUCUGAUGUUAGCGGCGGACGGGUGAGUAACACGUGGGUAACCUACCUAUAAGACUAGGAUAACUCCGGGAAACCGGGGCUAAUACCGGAUAAUAUUUUGAACCGCAUGGUUCAAUAGUGAAAGACGGCUUCGGCUGUCACUUAUAGAUGGACGCGGACCGUAUUAGCUAGUUGGUAAGGUAACGGCUUACCAAGGCGACGAUACGUAGCCGACCUGAGAGGGUGAUCGGCCACACUGGAACUGAGACACGGUCCAGACUCCUACGGGAGGCAGCAGUAGGGAAUCUUCCGCAAUGGGCGAAAGCCUGACGGAGCAACGCCGCGUGAGUGAUGAAGGUCUUCGGAUCGUAAAACUCUGUUGUUAGGGAAGAACAAAUUUGUUAGUAACUGAACAAGUCUUGACGGUACCUAACCAGAAAGCCACGGCUAACUACGUGCCAGCCGCCGCCGUAA